rnacentral:hammerhead_ribozyme from 1 species
AUCCAGCUGACGAGUCCAAAAUAGAACGAAACACACGUCCUGGAU